ensembl:lncRNA
AAUUACUGUACAAAAGCUGUAUGAAAGAAGUUGCCUGGAAUGUCAGCUUGUUUGGGUGGGAUGAUACCUUUUGGCCAACUGCAUGAUGUUACAUAGCUGAUUGUCUGUUCUGAGUAAGGUGGUGGGCUAUAGACCAUCCUAUCAGUCAAUCUGGUCUGUAUACGCAAGUAGCUUCAAAUUUGUUUUCAAGGGAGGAUCAAGGAGCAUCGGGAAAAUUAAUUUUACAAAUAUAUUUUGGGGGUAUAUUGAAAUGUAAACAAAUACAGUGAUUUAAUAGGCAUAAUAACAUUAUUUAAAAAUAGGAAGACUGCACUGGGACUUUAAAUUAAAGAUAUUGUCUAAGUUCAGUGCCAAAGCCUGUACUAAUUCCUUAUCUACCUGAAAUAGAUGACACACACUUGAUCUGUAUGUCAAGACAAAACAUUGCCAGGAAGCUGUAGCAUUUCUGUCCGAUUCCCAUUAUAUGAUAUGUUACUAGUAAUAUGUUUAAAAACUACCACACUACUCACUGUACAUUGCCCACUGGGAUGCUUUUAAUUUGAGAACAUGUUCAUGUUUUUUGUGACCUUUUUAAACCCUAUAUUUCAUAGUGCACAUAUUUUGAACAGAACCCACCCAGGGUUUGCAAACCCAACGUGGCUCUGGUCAAAAGUAAUACAUUAUCAAGGAAAUAGGGUUGGAUUUAAAAUUUGAGUCUCCUAGACUGCUUUGUGUAUCAAUGUAUCUUCCACUGAUAAAUCUGUAAUAGGCAUAUUAACAUAUUUCCAUUAUUUGUUACAUUAUCCUUUUUGAGGGAUAGUGCCUUCCAUAGAAAACACUCACUAAAUAAAUCUUCCUUCAAUCAGAAUCCUUCACGUGCCACAAUAUUGGAGAAGGAACAUGUGUUCUAGAAAAAACAUUGAAUAUGAAUUACUGUUAAUGAACUGUCAAUACAAGACAGAUAAGGAUCUAUCGAUAAGUUUAACUCAAAUGUUUUUUUUUUAUUCUUCAUGUGUUUUGUUGAUUUUUGGUUUGCUUUAUUUGUGUUCAACUGCCAUUUUUCUUUUUAUUGUUUUGAGGGGUUUUCUGAGGAGAAAAGCAAUGGAUCUUCAGGUUCAAGUUAUUUAUAGUACACUAUUCACCUGGUCGUCAUGGAAACUGCAUGGUACAUUAUGAAACUUAUGUCAAGAAAUCCCAACAGAAUUGGCAACUACUUGAUGUCAAAGGAUCCUUGGUUGUGCUUUUUUUUAACUAAUCACUUGAACAAUAUUGAGUGAUUUGUUGUUCUAUUUAAGCAAUAAGGCCCUAGAGGUUGUAUAAUAAGGCCAAUAUUCCAUGGCUAAGAGUUGUUUGAAGCAAUGGUAUAUUUGUCAUAUAUCUCAAUCCCCUGAGGUUCCUUAUCACUUUAAUAAACUGGUUACCAAUGUAUAUAGAACCGUAAACAAGUACUUGUUUCUCAUACCUUGGGUAUACAAUCUUGUAUACCCCGUUUUUCAGCCAAUCUGCAUCCAGGGGCUGAAGCUCCUGGUUUAUAUUGAGUUACUUGUGCCAUUGGUAACAAAAAAGAAAAAAAUACAUAAAAGUCCCCAUGUAGUUUUUAUGUAAAUAACAGGUAGGUAAUGUUCUGUAAAAACAUGCUACUGAUCAUUUCUGUGUCCAGUUUUUUUAACCCUGUAGUCUUAAUACUAUGACCUUCCAACUGAUCUGUUACUAUGGAGACUGACCUCCGUAGGUGCGUUCUGUAUUUCCUUGAAGUUUAUCCAUAUUGCCAAAGACAAACUACUUUAUCAAUUCAUGUAAAUAUCACCUUGUCCAUUACUAUGACAAAAGUAUGUUUGUUUGAAUUUUUUGUUUUGUUUUUCCAAUAAGAAAAAAACCUACCAUAAAGUUUCUGUGC